rnacentral:lncRNA from 1 species
AGGGUAUUUAUAGCCUGGAGCGUGAGGGGGCAAGGACACGCGCUUUAUUUCGGAAGUGAUAAUUCCAGCUCCAGUGUCCACCAGGCCCUCCUUGGAAGAAGCCACAAGUAAGCAUCAGGACACCCUUCACCUCAUGAAAAGCCACAGCAGAAGCCAACCAGGCUGUCUGGCCCAGGCAGCUGCCCGGCACUUCGGAGAAACUGAGGCUCAAACCACUCCAGAGAUGACAAGUCCUGUCACCUUCAGGGAGGCGGAGGCCAAAGACAAAACUUGAAGGAAGAAAGAAGAUACUUGGACUCCAGGAAAUGAUCACCGUGGAAACCCAUCUGCUGCUUCUUGUCUACGGCUGUUUGUUCCUCCAGCUCUGGGCUGCCUGAGUGUCUCACAGCAGAAUUAGCAAGUGCGGAGGCUGAAGGUUUCUAGAGGCUCUGAGGUCACAGCUCUCGCUUGAGUGCACAUAACUAUAAGCCAUGAUGAGGAAACUGAGGCUUAGAGAGGUUAAAUGACAUGACCAAAGUGUCAACAGCUAACAGGCAGGAAAGCCAGGACUCAAAUCCGGCAGCCUGUUUCCAGAGUCCACGCUUGGAACCACGGAGCUGUAUUUCUUAACAAAGAAAUCUCACUCUGUCGCCCAGGCUAGAGUGCAAUGGCGCAA